UACGUAGGAGGCGAGCGUUAUCCGGAUUUACUGGGCGUAAAGCGGGUGUAGGCGGUCUGUCAAGUCCGGUGUGAAAUCUCCCGGCUUAACUGGGAGGGUGCACUGGAUACUGGCGGACUGGAGUGCAACAGAGGAAAGCGGAAUUCCCGGUGUAGUGGUGAAAUGCGUAGAUAUCGGGAAGAACACUAGUGGCGAAGGCGGCUUUCUGGGUUGUAACUGACGCUGAGACCCGAAGGCGUGGGGAG
rnacentral:rRNA from 1 species